UUGGUGCCUCCUACUGGUUUGUUUUCAAACUAGUACAAUUCUCCAUGAGCAAUUUAGCACAGCCCAUUGCAUGACUUCUGCACCUUUGGCCAACAGAAGUCAGGAAACAAUUUUUAUGGACUUGUCUUGUUCAAUAUUUCCUUUUCAGGUAGAAAUAAUUCAAAACAGGAAGACAAACUGUAAUUUUAACAUACCAGAAUUUUUAUAUCGUCACCAUAACCCCAAUUAUUUUGGUCAUGUCUUAGUAUUUAUUUGUUAAUAAUACAUAAGUAUUUAUGACAUUAUUGAACUUGCAUGUAAAAGCACACAAGCUGAAUAAUUUACCAUACAAAGGCUAUAAGAUUGUUGAGAGACCCUAAAAACAUAAGUAGCAUUGAAAAAUACAGUUGCCUUUAUCAGACAGACUUUUAAUCUUAUGUAAAGAAGCAACAGGUUCAAAAGACCUAUCAUCCUCACUAAACCAAGCUGACAGAUCCAUUAGACUUCAAUCUAUAAUUUUCUGGAUGAAUCCAAACCUUUUUCACUAUUUAAUCCAUCAUAAAGCCAGCAUAACUGCAAUUUCCCAUGUUCUCUUCUUUCCUCACUUUAAAGAUAUUUGGGCAUUAUUUUAAUCUACUCUCCCUUUAACAUGCAAGCUCAUACAUGUGCCAAGUCCCUGCUCAAUUAUGUGUGUGUCUUGGCAUCCUUUUAGCUGAGGUUGUAUAUGAACACAGCAGUUGUUCAGAGAUACCAGACCUUUGAACUUAAAAGAACAUGAAUGUAGGAGAGGGAGGACAUAAAAGAGGUGUGCAAAGUAAUUUUGAAACAGAUGAUAAAUACCAUAGCAGCUAUUCUUUCAUGAAGUGCAGAUGCCUGCCAGUUCCAGAAUGCACGAGCAAUCCUGCUCAUACCGGAGGGACAAGUAUGACAACUCUGCUCCAGGACUACUAGCCCAACACUAUGCGAAUGAGUCUCGAUCAGUAGAGAAGCAGGUUGUUACCAAGAUUUGAGAGCCAGGUUUCUCAGCAUGUCCCAGGUCCAUUACUAACCCACGAUGCUUAACUGGCUAAUCAAAUGUCAGCCUGCUGGCUAUAGAAGUUUGGGACUGCAAGAAGAAAUUUGUUUACACGUGAGUUAUCAGCAUGGCUAAACAGAAUGAACUUAGAAGGCAUUGGUGGGCUAAGAUUUGGCCUGUUCCAGCCUGAGGCACUGCCUACUUUUAGAGCAGAAGAGGAAUCAAGAUUCAAUUGUUUAGUUUCAGAGUUUGGAUUACAAUUAACUCCUGCAGAAACCAUUGAGCAAACAGAUUAGACUUUUCCCACCGGCUAUGAAACAAAAUUUAGGAGGGCUGUCAGAAUGAGCUACACAACUAAAUUAAGUUCUUGAACUGAUACAGUUGUAGACCUUAAAUUAGAUUUCUAAGCAGGCAUUACAUUGCUAGCUUUAAAAAUCUCCUGGCAAAUACUGAAAUCAGAAAGGGCACUGGAUUAGGAGUCCACCUAGAUUAGAAAAGGGCAUUUUAUUUGCAGUUUCCCUACAGGCUGAAGAGUCAAGUAUACCCAGUGGUGAUCUCCAAGAUUUCUAUGAGGCCACUAAUUAUACACAGAAUGCUUAAUGGCCUUCAAAUCUUUGUCACAAAGAUGAGCUAGACUAUGCUAACUGCCCACUGACCAGAAAAAACACAAAUACUCAGUUUGCAAAGAGCAAUCUCUGACUUCUUUGAAACUGGGAUGUGUUCAAAAUAUUGUGCAUUGAUGCUGGAAUACAGAUGGCAAAGCCCCUAUUAUGGUGUUCUUGCACACAGAAAAACUGUAGGUCUUCUGUUGGGCCUACAAUUUUAACUGCCUUCAGGUACCUACAGAGCCUUUUUCGGCAGGCACUGAAUCAGGGGGAUGGGGAAGCAGAGGUUAAAUGAUUUACUAAGAAUUGGUUUGUUAGAAGCAAUGCAUACUGCUUGCCCAACACUUAUUGUGCCUACCAAAGCAGGAUGAGAAGAUAUGAGACUAUUGAUAAGGUGAAGGAAUCUUGACCAAAGAUCCUGUUUUUAACCUAAAACUAACUCAAACCAGUCUUGAAGUUUGGACUUAGCCCAGGGGAAUAAAGAGCAUGCACAGGGAGGAAAGGUGAAAAGUUCAGGAUGAGGAAGACUCUUUACUUCAUCUGAGGAAGACUCUUAUUUCAUCUCGGAGACCCCUGCCCACGACCACCAGACAACACUGCACAAGCGCAACGUGGAUAUAAAUGACUUUUGGGCUCAUUGUAAUACGAGGCGAGGCUAGGCGGGGCUAGGUGAUGAAUAUGUAUAGGCAUAUUGGGAAACUCAAUGAAUAUGGAACUUGUAACCUGAUAUAUACCAAGCUGAAUGCAGCUAUCGGCAUGCAUGACUUUAGAGGAGCUAUGCCCCACGUGUCCCAGUGCUGGAAUAAACAUACCUCCUUUACUACUUAUUCUAGUAGUGGAGUCUUUCCCGCUCAUCAUUUUGGUGGGCCAGCCAGGAGAAACUCCGUCUGAUCGCAGGAUCGGCUGAGGAGCGGACGUCCUAGGCAUACCCCAGGGCUUUCCUGGAGGAACUCCGCCCCUCGGCUCGCUCACUGCGAUGGAGGGACAACGAUCUGCUGAAACUGCAGAUAAAAUGGUAUGUUUUGCAUUUAGAGUGCCUGUAAGUCGAACGCGUGGCCAGGACUGCUGGUAAGCUGCGAGGAGACGUCUCGCGCACAUCAUAGUCCCUGUGAGGUUAAGGUGGGGCUUGCAAGCAACUGGCUACAGGAGCCAGCAGGGGGAAUUUCCAGCCGCCAGAGUGGCUGCCAGCAAUCCUGAGAGUGGAUCGGGUGAUUCCAGGGGGGUCCCGCCGGAACUUGUUACCAUGUUGGGAAAAUAUAAGCAGGACCCUGAAGCUAUUACAGCCUCCCCUUAGGUGAAGGGAAGAGGAUGCAGAUUCGGAAGGAACACCAAUGCCAACCCCCUCUCCCCCGGGCAGUCCUGUCUCAUCCCGAACCAGGAAGCAGAUCUAAAGGAUGCCUUUUUUUGCCUCCCUCUCCAUGAAGUCAGCCAGAAGUUUUUGCAUUAGAAUGGGAAAGCCCUAAGAGUGGGUGCAAAACCCAGCUCACAUGGACCGUGUUGCCCCAGGGAUUUAAGAACAGUUCCACCCUGUUUGGAGAACAGCUCGCAAAAGACGUAGAGUCCUGAGAAGCCUCACCAGGAGAAGGGAAGCUAUUGCAGUACAUGGAUGACCUUCUAAUAGCUACCCAAACAGAGAAAGCUUGCGUAGCCUGGAUGUGGGAAUCAAGGAGAACCGGUACGCCAUGAUUGCCUGGAAACUAUCGAAGCCACCUACUCCAGCCACCCGGAUGUAAAGGAUACCCCUUUAGAAGAUGCAGAGACCUGGUUUACUGAUGGGAGCAGCUACGUCAUCAGUGGAAAGCGGCAUGCUGGGUACGCAGUUACCACCUGCCGCGAGGUGAUAGAAUCUGGACCCCUGCCAACAAACACCUGUGCACAAAAGGCUGAAAUAAUCGCCCUAACCCGUGCCUUAGAGAUAGCAAAAGGAAAGAAAAUAAACAUCUAUACAGACUCAAGGUAUGCAUUUGGAGUUGUACACGCACACAGUGCCAUUUGGAAAGAAAGAAGACUGUUAAAUUCACAGGGAAAGAGCAUCAAACAUGCACAAGAAAUAAUGUGACUGUUGGAAGCAGUCCAGAUACCUGAGAAGGUAGCAAUCAUGCACAUAAGGGCACAUCAGAAGGUGAGCUCAGAAUUGGAAGAAGGAAAUGAACUGGCGGACAGAGAAGCAAAAGAAGGAGCUAAAGGUGAGGUAACAACAACUGGAGCCUUGAUCCCAGAUGGACAACUUUCCCUAGAGAGUAAGCCAACAUAUGAUAAAAAGGACAAGAAAUUGAUUAAAGAUGAAGGGGGAACAUUUAACCAAGAGGGAUGUGCUAUCACUGCAGAAGGAAAAGUGGUUAUUCCCUCUCAUUUGCUAUGGUCAGUAGUUAGGGAGGAGCACCAGAAAACACACCAGGGAACAAAUGCCUUAUAUAACUACUUAAUUGGGAAAAUGAUUGCUAGAAGCUUAUACGAAACUGUUGUGCAAGUAACUCGACAGUGUAACCUUUGCCUCCAGACUAAUCCCAAAAAUACCCCCAAACCAAAAAUGGACCAGAUUGGGAGAGGCCAUGGGCCUGGACAGCAGUGGCAAAUUGAUUUUAUAGAAUUUCCAAGAAAAGGGGGGUAUUGAUAUUUACUAGUGCUGACAGAUACUUUUUCAGGAUGGCCAGAAGCUUUUCCUACUAGAACUGCUAAGGCUCGAGAAGUAACCAAAGUGUUACUACAAGAAAUAAUACCGCGCUUCGGAGUUCCAGCCACAGUGUCCUCAGACCUCAUUUUAUUUCAGGGGUGGUAUAACAAACUAGCUGACAUUUAGGCAUAGAUUGGGAACUCCACACUCCAUACCACUCCCAGUCGAGUGGUCAAGUAGAGAAAAUGAAUCAUUUGAUUAAACAGUAAAUUGUGAGAUUAGGGCAAGAAGCUAACCUACCCUGGCCCCAAUCUCUUCUACUUGCAUUGUUACGAAUUCGAACCAAGCCCAGAAUUAAAGAAAAGCUAAGCCACUUCGAAAUGCUUUAUGGGAGGCCAUAUGGCGUACAGAAAGGCAUAUCUACCCAAAUAGGGGAAGAGACGCUAGCCACCUAUAUGAUUGCUUUAGACAAACAGCUUAGAGAAAUUGGAAAACAUGUGGCUGGAACUUGAAGUUGAGACUUGGACGGUCCUGUACAUGACAUUCAGCCUGGAGAUUAUGUAUAUAUUAAGUCUCUUACAGAAAAGACUCUAGAACCACAGUGGGAAGGACCAUUCCAGGUGCUUCUCACCACUUACACCGCGAUUAAGAUCAGAGAGCAGAGUGCCUGGAUUCACCACACCCGAGUAAAGAAGGCUCCAGAGGCCCCUUGGAAAGUGACCCCUGGGGAUGAUGAACUGAAACUGAAGUUUACCCGAACAAAAUGAAAAUGUCAGGGUGGCACGCAAGUAUAACCCAGAAAAUUGUUUUUUUCACAGUCAUAAUUGUAGCUUCCAGUUGGGAAGUUAUUCAUAGGAGAGAAGACAUAUGGUCCCAAGCCUUUAUGCGGUUUACUGGACUCAUGGGGAAAUAUUCUGAUUUAAAAGAUUUAAACCUGCUGACUGUGGUCAUGCACAGAAACCAAGUGUAUACAAAGCAAGAAUGGGAAAAACAACAAAGAACUUGGCAGCUUCAGGGAACUGUAGGAGAAGAAAUCAAAAUAGGAGGCCGAAUGAUUAACGGAACUACUCAUAAAAAAAGCAACCCAAAUUAGUGUCUCAACUACUCCUACAGACAAACAUAAUGAAAUCUGUAGUCAUUCAAGUGAAGUAGAUUGUUGGUAUAAUUUUACAUUAGUACAGACAGUUGAAGUAGUUUGUCUUUGGGGCCAGGACAGUAAUGGGCUCUCAUUCAAAUUCCAGAUAAAUGUCAUGGCUAGGCCUAAUAUGACCUACACCAGCAAUCGGAUCCAAACCUAGGUCACAUCACUUAAACUUGAGCCAAAAGUUUAUGAGAUUGGCUCCUAUGUAGUGAGGAACACAGGCCAGCAAUUACUGCUGUUUAAUCCAGAGUGGUCUCUUAAGCACGUAGAACUACUAAUGCAAAUUAACAUUUCUGAUAUCCAACCAGCCUGCUCCCCUUUAAUACAAACAUCCUUUGAAGGGUGGACAGCCUGGCUGCAAAAGCAAACACCCCUCAAAGGCAGAAUGCGGAGAGACAUGACUGACAUGCUGGGAACAGGACUGGGAGUCAUAAAUGGAAUUGAUUCAGAGAUACUGAUGAAUAAAUUGGCCACGGCAACCAGUGACCUGACCAAAUUAAAACAGCCCCUACAAUCCUCCCUAUUAGCAUUAGGAAACAGCCAGUGGCAAGUCUCAAAAAUACUCCCAGACCUCGCAAAUAUCAGCGACCUGGACCACGAACUGAUAUUAAGCACACUUGGCACAGCUCGGGACAAUGUCUCAUUAGCCCUUAGCUGCAUACAAGCUCAAUUAUGGAUGCAGUCCACAGCUUCCUUAAUUAUAAGAGAAGGUAAUGAAGGCGUUUUCCCUAUAGAAAUCCGAGGAGCUGUUCGGAAUAAUGCUACUAAGUUAGAAAGAAAGCUCCAAUCCUGGUGGACCUUGGUAAAUUUCACCUAUGACCCAAUGACUAACAUAAGCUACUGCCUUUGCGCUUACUAUACGUAAUGCCACAGUUUAUGUAAUUCAUCCUAUUGUUGCAUUGGGACUAAACUAUGAAGGAACAGUUUUUCACCCCUCUGAACAUAGAGUAUGGGCUCGGAUGGUAGGAGGAAAAUGGCAAACAGUAAAUUUAGAAUCUUGCAUCACACGGGAACAACAAGGAUUUAUCUGUGAAACUAAUACACUUGAUGACAAAGACAUAUGUCUUUAUGCAGAACAAGGCAUUUGUCACUUUGAGAUCCACCCAGAUACUUCACCAAAAACUGUACUUGUAUGUAUUGGCCAAGGCUGUGUGUGCUUAAGAACUAUCUGCACUUUUAUGAUGAUAGAUAAUAUAAAUAUAGCUGCCAGGAAUCACUCUAAUUUUUGUAUUAGUAAGUUUACCAAGAUUGUUGGGUGUGACUUUUUGUAUUUAGCACCAGUUGUGUCUCAUCAAUUGAUAAGGUCUAACUACACCAUAUACCAUAAAUUGCUACCCACACCUAUUGGGAUGGACCUAACAUUAGUAAAGCAAUUAGUGAAACAUCAGGACCUAAUUGAGAUUUUAGGAGAAAUCCAAAGAAACGGGAAAAAGACCUUAAUCACCAUCCAUCAUGACACACAAGAAAUCAGCAGAAUCUUGCAAAGAGUAAAACAAGAUGCAAGUCAUAACUGGUGGGACUCGCUUUUCGGGUGGUCACCUACUGCAACUGCUAUCCUAAAUACGUUAUGUCACCCCAUAAUUGUCUUAUGAACCUUGGUUAGUGCCUGCCUUGUGCUAUCACAUUGCUUAUUUGGAACUACAGAGUACUAAAAAGGUUAUCAGUUUUAACUGCUUUGUCAAACACACAUGGAAAAGCAUUGAGGGAUGCCUACCGAAAAAAAUCAUUAGGAAAAGAAUUUAUGAAUUAGUAAAAGAAUUUACUAACUCUUUAGAAAAGGGGGGACUGAAUCAGGAGGAUGGGGAAGCAGAGGUUAAAUGAUUUACUAAGAAUUGGUUUGUUAGAAGCAAUGCAUACUGCUUGCCCAACACUUAUUGUGCCUACCAAAGCAGGAUGAGAAGAUAUGAGACUAUUGAUAAGGUGAAGGAAUCUUGACCAAAGAUCCUGUUUUUAACCUAAAACUAACUCAAACCAGUCUUGAAGUUUGGACUUAGCCCAGGGGAAUAAAGAGCAUGCACAGGGAGGAAAGGUGAAAAGUUCAGGAUGAGGAAGACUCUUUACUUCAUCUGAGGAAGACUCUUAUUUCAUCUCGGAGACCCCUGCCCACGACCACCAGACAACACUGCACAAGCGCAACGUGGAUAUAAAUGACUUUUGGGCUCAUUGUAAUACGAGGCGAGGCUAGGCGGGGCUAGGUGAUGAAUAUGUAUAGGCAUAUUGGGAAACUCAAUGAAUAUGGAACUUGUAACCUGAUAUAUACCAAGCUGAAUGCUGCUGUCGGUAUGCAUGACUUUGGAGGAGCUAUGCCCCACGUGUCCCAGUGCUGGAAUAAACAUAUCUCCUUUACUACUUA